UUUAGAGAUAAUGAAUCUUUCUCCCAGCAAAUCUUAUUAGUUUCCUUACUUGAGAAAAUCUGGUUGACAAGGAAAUUAACUGUGUCGUCUGCCUUGCCCCCUUCCCAGGGUCAUUCCAUCUCCUACAGGGGAGGGAAUGGAUUGCUGGCCUGUUCCUUUAACUCCUUUCUCCCAGUGAUAUUUCAGAACCAUUCUGAAUUAUUAUUGAAGUAAAAUGAGUUUUAUGAUCAGGAAAUUUCCCACAGUUAUAGCAGCCUAAUAGAAGACAUGGAAGAAGUUAUGAAGAAGCAGGUCAUCUUGGAAAUAAGCUGACUUUCCUGAGGGGGAGUGAAGUGGAAGGUUUUUCAAUUCUGAGAGAACUGACUGAAGAAAUUGAUGAAUAAUGUUCCAUUGUCUGGAUGUGACACAGUUUAUUAAUCCAUUUACUGAAAGGCAUCUUGGUUGCUUCCAAGUUUUGGCGGUUAUGAAUAAAGCUGUGAUAAACAUCCAUGAGCAGGUUUUCAUGGUGGACAUAAACUUUCAGUUUCUUUGGAUGCCCUGAGGCACCCCCAUAUUGGGUCCUUGGAUUGAAAGCAAAGAAUUGAAUAAAUGGAAGAAAGACACAUUCCCUCUUCCACUGUCUGAAUCUACAUUCAUAAUAGACUAGAUGGUGAGUGUUAUCAAUUAUUCUUCCCUUUCCUUCAAUGGACUGGGAUAUUCUCUAGAAUUAUGCACCUGAAGAAAGUCAGCUCCCUGCCCUGGGUUAGAUACAAUCUAUAGUCAAAUAAUAUCUCAGGUGUAUUUUCUUCUCACUUGGCAGGGUCCCCAAAGAUGCCUAAAUCUAAUAGUCCUUCCUUGUGUUUGUCAUAUUUUCUCUAACUUAGGUAGAGGUUGGUAUUCUGGGUCACUGAAGGAGGCUCUAGGGUGUCUAGAGUGAAAAUAAUGAUGGUUUGUGAUUAAUCAUUCCUCGCUCGUUAGAAUCUGUAAAGAAAAGUGAAAUCAGAAGUCCAUCUUUAGCUUCAAACCCACAACAUGAGCAUCAUACAUGCCAUUUUUGACUGAAUGUACCAUAUAGGCCACUCUAUGUCACAUAUAGAUUCAUGACUCUUAGACUGAAUUGAUUUUUAUCUUUCAACCGGUCAACAUUAUAGUUUAUAAAAUAUGAUAGAAAAUAUGGAGCUUUUCCUCUGAGUCUCAUGUGUUACACAACCCAGAGCUAAAUAGGCAAUAAAUAGUCUAGGCUAACCGAAUGGUGGGAAGUAAAGUUAAGGUGGGGUGGUACAUCAGGGUGGUAUAGCCUGUCCUGGGAAGAGGUUUCUUUAACAUGAAGGAUUCUAGAAGGAAAGAUGAGGUUUAAACAGAAAUCAAGCUGUUCCAUCAUCUAUUCCAAUGUAGUCUCUAGUUUUCUCUUGUUUUCUUUUAGGUCACUUUUGCUACAGAGUGAGUCUCUUUGAACUAAAUCUGAGUUAUAAUUUGAAAAGCAGCCAGGUUUACCCUUUCCUCUGAGAAUCUGAUGAAAGACAUGGAUCCUCUACCCAGAUAAUACACAUAAGCACAGAAUUUUAUGGAUUAACAUUUAAAGUCCAUCCAAAGACCUCGUGAGUGAUUCAUGAAACAUGUAUUAAGAGUCCCUUGAGUGGGCCCUGAUGGCCUAGUGGUUAAAGUUUGGUGCUCUCACCACUUCGCCAGCCUGGAUUCUCUUCCCGGUCCAGAACCACAGCCCCGUCUAUCAGUUGCUUAUUAAAAACACUGGUAAAUAAUUUUGAGUUAGAAAUCUUCUUGACUUCUUAAAUGCUUUCUAAUAUUUUGUACCAACAUAACCAUCCUCAUAUUUCAUGUUUUAAACUUUUUUCACAUUGUGAAAGUAUGACUAAGAUCUUUUUUUUUUGAAAUUGACAUGAUUGAGGGCAACUGUAAUCUAUACAUGUGAGACUACAAAUGCAUCAACGGCAGCUCUUUUCAUCUCAUAUGGGAGUAGCUCUGUAGUUCUUUAAUUUAUAGAGUCUGUGAUUGGACUACGUGGCCUCUCACAUGUUUGGAUUUCUUGAAUUCUUUAUCUAAAAGAACUACUUCAUAAAUAACUGCCGAUCCUUUCUCUGAGCUGUGUGAUUAUAAAAAGACAUACCCACUAAAAAAUCUGAAUAAAAAUGAAAGAGCUUGAAAAGGUGUUGGUUAAUAUAUAAUUAUAUAAUAGUGUGGGGGUAUGAGAAUGGGGGAAAGUAGCUGUUCCUGUUAUCUGUCGCUAUGCAACAAGCCAACCUAAAACUAAGUGGCUUAAAACAACAAUUUGCCGUCUCUCAUGGUUCUUGGUUUGACUGCUCUCCACUAGGACUUCUCACUCGGAAUCUCUCAAGGCGUUGCAGGCAGAAGGCAGGUGGCACUGUAGUCAUCUGAAGGAUAGACUGGGCUGACCACUGACGCUCUCUGUUGGCCAGUUGUUCAGCUGGAGUUGCCACCUGAGCAUCCACAUGAAGCCUUCCCAUGUGGCAAGGGAGUCCUCACCGCAUGGGUAGUUGGAAUUCUUACAUGGAGUCUAAGGGCUCGAAGGGAAAAGGUAGAAACUUCCAGAGCUUUUAUAAAGGUCAGGCCCAGAACUGGAAUAAUGUCAUUUUGCUCUAGAUAAAUCUAGCCAUUAAGACCAACCCAGGUUCCAUGGGGGAGAAAUAAGACUCUAUUCUUAGUGGGAGGAAUAGCAAAAAUGUAGUUUAAUCUCUCUUAGUAUCCACUGAGAUAAUUCCUGGAGAUGAGCAGGCUUUCUGAGCUACGAGAGCAGGGAUGUCUAAUAUGAUAUUCUAGAUUGCUCACAUUGCUGUGACAUAUCUCCCCCAAUUUUUGUUAGUCUGCCACACAUAUAUAUAAAGUUUGUGGAUAAAAGCAUGAAAGUAUUAAAAGAAAGCAUAGCUUGUCCUAUAUUCACCACUCUGUUAAUAAAAAAGGAGCAACAUCCUCUUUAAAGAUUAUGUCUAGGGCAUUGAGAUAAUGAGAAGCAGCCAAAUGAACAAUGGUACAUGAUGGAGUCAGAAGUCUAUUUAAAUCUUCAUCAUAUAAAAUCUUAAUCACAAUAAAAAUAUUUGAGAGGUCCUGAAGCAAAGAUAUCAGGUUGAUCUUUUUCAUGCCAUUAGUUUCCAAACUUAUUUCAGCAUAGAUUGAACAUACUCUCUUUCUCUCUCUCCUGCUCCCUAACAACUCUCAAUAUCUAAAAGAUCUGGUGUUUACUAUAUACACUUUGGAAAAUGCUUCAUACCAAAACAGGACAGAGAAUGUGUUUAGUUGAUGGGAAGGAAAAUACCUUUGGAUUAUAGCUUUCAAGAUACAUUUAGGGGCCGGCCCAGUGGCGCAGUGGUCAAAUUUUCAUGUUCUGCCUUGGUAGCCCGAGAUUCGCUGGUUCAGAUCCCAGGUGCGUACCUACACAUCGCUUGUCAAGCCAUACUGUGGCAGGCGUCCCACAUAUAAAGUAGAUGGAGAUGGGCAUGGAUGUUAGCUCAGGGCCAGUCUUCUUCAGCCAAAAAGAGGAGGGUUGGCGGCAGAUGUUAGCUCAGGGCUAAUCUUCCUCAAAAAUAAAAAAGAUAGAUUUAAUAAAGGACCUAGAAUCAUUAAUGAAAUUUGUUUUGGAAGAGAGGGAAGGAAAUUUUGUUACAAGUGAUAUUAGAAAUUAUUCAAGGGGCUGGCCCCGUGGCCGAGUGGUUAAGUUUGUGCACUCCACUGUGGCGGCCCAGGGUUUCGCCAGUUUGAGUCCUGGGCGUGGACAUGGCACUGCUUGUCAGGCCACAGUGAGGUGGUGGCCCACAUGCCACAACUAGAAGGACCUGCAACUAAGAUAUACAGUUAUGUACCGGGGGGAUUUGGGGAGAUGAAGUAGAGAAAGAAAAAAAAAAAAAGAUUGGCAACAGUUGUUAGCUCAGGUGCCAAUCUUUAAAAAAAAAAAAAAGAAAUUAUUUAGGCCAAGAGUUUUCAUAAUAUUUCAGCAGAAUCCAAGGUGUUUCUGGAGCUGUUUCAGAGAAGACCUGGAGGGGCAGUGGGUAGACAAGCCAGUGAGAGUCUAAUCUCUUAGCAAGAAACUUCCAAAGACUCUCGCUUUAUACCUCUUCUCUGCGAGGAGCUGAAUAUUAGAUUUGACUUGAAAUAGUGAUGCUGAUUAAAAGAUGGAGGAGCAGGAGCAGAAGGAGCGCAGGGGGAGGAGGGGAGAGUUCAUACAAAGAAUUAGCAACACAGAACAGAGAUUCUCAAACUUUUAGACCAGGAUGUUUCCGGUCAUCUACAUCAUCUCUGAGGAGGGGGACUUCUGAGAUUAGUAGAAAGUUAGGUUGUGCUCCUAUUGUGUAAAACCUUGAAUUCAGGAUAAAAAUUUUGUCAUUACUCUUACAGAUUUUGAAAAUUCCGCAAAUAUCUCUUAGCAAAAAAUAGAAUUGCAUUUUUAGGAAGAUAGAGUGCUGGCAGUAUGUGGUAAAACUGAGGAGAAAACUAUUGCUACUGAGAAGGAAAAUAUUUGAAAAAAUUUGACUCACUAUUUAUUUAAACAGUCCUAGCAAGAGGUGGUGAAUUAUGAGGACUCUUAAUUCCACAUCAAUGGAAAGGCAAACAGAAAAAGGAAUAGAUUGCAUGCAUUGAAGUUCUUAAGAAAUUUCCCUAAUUUGGAUGAACUUCAUUCUUAAUUCUGUAUUCAAAAUUUCUCAUAACUGAAUUUUAAGGUUUGAUUGUAGCAAUUUGUUUCAGUUACUGAUAGCUAUUUAUGUAUAAGCGUUAUAUCUCUAAGACAAGAGAAUUUACAAUUUUUAUUUAAAAAAUAUUGGUGUUAAGAUAAAUUUCUACAUCUUCUUCAAUAAUUUUGAGAUGAAAUCAGCCAGUGUUAUUGGAUAGUUCACUGAAGAAGGAAAUUGAUGGUGGUUUAGUACAUUUAGUUGUGUAGACAAAGAACGUCAUUACAAGACGCUAUCUAAAACACACCACUUCAAUUGUCAAUGCCAGUUUUUGCAAUUAAGCCAGUUCUUUAAGUCCUACUAGGACGGAUUUAUGUCUGCCCUAUUUGCUAUCAUUUUCUCAGUGUCUGACACUUAAUAGACACUCAAACAGUAGACACAGAAUGAUGUCUGUCACCUUGUAGGCACUCAAAGCUAUUUGCAGAAUACAUAUAUGCUAAUAUGUGAAGCUCCUUAUUUUCAUGUAAGUAUUUUAUAUAGUACACUAUUACAUUUUGAAAUUUUGUAACUGUACUAAACCUUAAUAAUAUAAGUUCUGUGAAUAAAUAUGUUUGGAUAAGACAAAAACAUAACAUUUUCUAUAGAAUGGAAAAUGUUAAAAUUGAAAAUUACUUAGAAACUCUUCAAAGAAAAUGUGGACGGACAUAUGAUGCUGCAGAGGGUCAAGCCUCGUUGUCAGACAGCACAUUCCUGUUCAGUCUAAAUUAGUUCUUCCAAUCAGACAACUGACGAGGCAAUUUUUGCCAUGCUUGAAUUUUCCGCACAACCAUAAAAAGGGUCUAAUACGUAAUUAGAAAGCCUGGAAGAAAAUUUGCAAAGCCACAUCUGUUUUCCUUUUACGUUUUUUGUCUAUUCUUCCUCCUCUCAGCUGAAAAAAAAAUUUUGAUGUUGAAUUUAUGGAUUAAAUUUAUGCAUUUAAAAUAAAAUAAUAAUUUAUCGUAAAGUAAGACUUUAAGACUCCCCAAAUAAUUACUCAAAAUUGAGUGCAAUUUGAAUUUCUUUGAAUGAAUGCACAUUUUCUAAUAUCAGACUAUUACAAUCACUGCAAUUGAGUUUUGUAAGAAGAAUCUAUAACAGGGACUAAGGUAAUUUCUCGCAAUUUUGGCUACGUAGGAUCUGAUUGCAGAGCCUAUCAGAAAUUCUGAUUAGCUGUUGUAGAUGUGUUUGAUUAAUAAAAGUGAUAAAGUCAUCAUUAGUUAAUAAAUAAAUAUAUACAAUAGUUUGUUUUGGAGGAAAAUUCUCUUGCAAACACACGGGGAGCAGGGACCUCUGUCUCCUGGGUGGCAAAAAUAUUGGAGCCCGACGACCUCAAUCUGGUUAUAGGAAUUAGGAGUUUUUCGAUAGGGAGCGCUAGGAGGUAAUUAAUUUGCUUUUCCUUCAAGGUUUUUAAGUAUCCAGCUUGAUCUUUGUCCACCUGAUUAACCAGUUAAUUAAAUUUUUAUGUAUGUCUUCUGACCGAGUUAAUUUGCCAGGAGCAUCCAUUAACGGAGAGUAACAGAGGAGAUUCCUUCUGAACGCUUGGUCCGAAUCACUGCACCUCAUCAUCUGCUUCUACCAGAAGGAGCCCCUGCUUUUACCAACAUAUGAGCUGUUCUGGAAACAAAUAAGCAGAAAGAGCAAACAGUAAAACUGGGAAUGACUUACACUCCAUAAGGUUCUACAGGAGCAUCAAGACACUGAAAGGAGAAAGGGAAAUGUUGGCAAAAUUGACACAGUGCCUUUCAAGAGCGGAAGCACCUAAAUGAUCACUGAAUAAACAAAAUGAUGAAUGAAUAUAUAAAUGGCUUGUGGGCUAUGCCUGCUUACUUUGUGGAUAUCAUCCUCUAGCCAAAAACUCUGCUUUAAUAUUUUGUCUUAAAAUUACAAUACUCUUUAAAAAAGUCACCGGUUUUAAGACUUUAACAGCCCUUAUCUUUUCGAGCUGUAUGUUCUGUGUGGUUUAGGAAGCUGAACUUGAAGUGGCCAUAGGACAGUGUUGAUUAGAUCAAGUGAGUCCCUUGGAUGCAUGAGAAAAUGGGCGAAGAGGUCAGAGAAGAGGAAGGGACUAGAAAUAAAAGGAAUUUUAAAGUGUUUCUUAAGGUUAGGCCAACAUUUUAGGAAGAGGCAGUGAAUUUCCCCUCCACCUCAUCCUCCACCUCCUUUCUCUUUUUCCACUCACUUCUCUCUUCUUCUCCUUUUUCUCCUUUCUAAACUUUGAGAUCUUUAUUUCCCAGGCUACAAAUUCAAACUAAAAUUAUGUAUUCUAACUUCAAGUAUGUUUGAGUUAAACAAGGUUCAGCGAGGCCGGCCCGGUGGUGCAGGGGUUACGUUCGCUCAUUCUGCUUCAGUGGUCCCGGGUUUGCCAGUUUGGAUGCUGGGUGUAGACAUGGCACCGCUUGUCAAGCCAUGCUGUGGCAGGCAUCCUACAUACAAAGUAGAGGAAGAUGGGCAUGAAUGUUAGCUCAGGGCCAGUCGUCCUCAGCAAAAAAGGAGGAUUGGCAGCAGAUAUUAGCUCAGGGCUAAUCUUCCUCCAAAAAAAAAAAUAUAUAUUUUAUAUAUGGUUCAGAGACUUCAGAUCCUACUCAUAAUAAUUUCCUUGGGAGAUGUUGCUUAGUUACAAAUUUUGUAUUUUAAUGACAACACCAACAAAAUUUCUAGGUCGAGGCCAGCUCAUAUUUCACAGAUCAGUGGACUACCUAUCUGAUUUAUUUUUACUUCCCAUUAAAAUAAAAGUCAAGAUGUUCUAGCAAAUUCCUUUCACUUAGUACCCCAUUGAUGGUUGUAUUCUCAAAUACCUGUGAAGAAAAUUGAUGAGCUUAGGCAGAGUACUAAAACUGUGCAUAUCCUUGGAAACUAAUGUUGUCUUUAGCUUGAGGCAUGAUGGAUUGAUCUGGUGCCCUGUUACACUUUGUGGUUUCAGGAAAAUGAUUUAUAAGAAGAAAAACAGGCAUCAUUUUGUUUAUGAUUUAUGGGCUUUGAUCUUUAAUCCUGAAUUUUUAUAUCAUUAGUCCUGAGAAAGGGAUAUUAUGAGACAGGUACAAUGAGAUUUCAAAUAUUUUCAUAUGUAUAAAUCAGUUUAUUAUCCAUAUUUUGGCCUUGGGUUUUACAAUAGAGAACAUAAUCAUGAUGGAGCACACCAUCUUUAACCCUAGCAUGGUUGCUCAAAUACACAUAUUCUCCAAAUUGCAUAACCAUAUGUAUAUUCAGAUAGAUAUAGAUGUAUAUAUGUGUGUGUGAAAAAUCAAUUUAAGUAUAAGUAAAGAUUGCAAUAGAGAACUAGUUUAGUCGAAGGAAUUUAAUGAUUGAAUACAAAUAAUCCAUGUAGAAAAUAAAUUCCUUUUUAAUAUGUGAGGUCACCUACGUUUUAUAAAAUGGAACGAUUUUCAAGGAUUUAUUGACCUAAGUUCAGGAGAAUUGGCUUUCUCCUUGCCAGGCCACAAAUAAAUGAAUAGGUUAGUUUUUAUAAACGAGUGAGUAAAAGGCCCAGAACUCCAUAGAGACGUCAGUCAGAAAGCUUUUUUUUAAAAGUUCCCUUUUUUCUGCUCAAGAUAACAUUGAAAAAUUAUUGUACAUUACCUAGACUAUUUUUUUCCGGCUUCAAAGAGUUCUUUCUCCUUGAACAUUUUCAAGGGUUCAAGCUAAGCUCGAAGCUUCAUGGGAGGAGGCAGAAUGUGGCUUGUCCUAUGUCAAGGCCUCUGGAAACUGCCUGUUCAUGGCCUUUUUUUCUCAAGGUGACUGGCCUCCUUCUCUACAGCCAAGACAAGGGAGAAACGUCAGAGGAUUAACCAGAGAAGCAGAACCAGUAGGGGAUAGAUAUUAAAAGAUUUAUUUUAAGGAAUUGGCUUAAGCGUUUGUGGGGGUUGGCUAGGCAAGUUCGAAAUCCAUAGGGCAGGCUGGAACUCUUGGGCAUGCCCUGUCCACAUGUGAAAUUUCUUCUUUCUAUGGGAAACCUUGUUAAUGAUCUUAAGGCCUUUCAAAAAAUUGAAUUCGGGGGCCAGCCCAGUGGUGCAGUGGCUAAGUUCAUGUGCUCGGUUUCAGCAGCCCUGGGUUCACUAGUUCAGAUCCCUGGUGCGGGCCUAUGCAUCACUUGUCAAGCCCUGCUGUGGCAGGCAUCCCACAUAUAAGCUAGAUGGGCACAGAUGUUAGCUCAGGGCUAGUCCUCCUCAGAAAAAGAGGAGGAUUGGCAGGAGAUGUUAGCUCAGGGCUAAUCUUCCACAAAAAAAAAAAAAAAAAAAAAAAAUUGAAUCAGGUCCACCCAGAUUGUUUUAGAUAGUUGCUUUCUCUUGUUUAGUUUUUAUGCAUCAUGAAUAGGUAAGGGAUUAUCUAGGAUAAUCUCCCUUACUUUAAGUCAACUGAUUGUGAACUUUAACCACAGCUACAAAUACCUUCACAACAACACCUGGAUUAGUCCAGAUGGUCCCUGAUUUAACUGUCAUUUGAUUUAUGAUUUUUUGACCUCACCAUGGUGUCAAAGUGAUAUGCAUUCGGUAGAAACUGUACUUCAGAUGUUUGAAUUUUCCUCUUUUCCCAGGCUAGCGAUAUGUGGUCUGAUCCUCUCCCAUGAUGCUGGGCAGAGACGGCCCCCGCAGCUCCAGUCAGCCCCACGGUCACCAGGGUAAAAAACCGAUAAACUGACAACCAUUCCGUACCCAGACAUCCAUUCCGUUGUUCACUUUCAGUACAGUAUUCAAUAAAGCACAUGAGGUAUUCAGCACUUCGUUAUAAAAUAGGCUUUGUGUUAAGAUGAUUUUGCCCAACUGUAGGCUAAUGUCAGUGUUCUGAGCACAUUUAAGGUAAGCUGUGGUGUUUGGUAGGUUGGGUGUAUUAAAUCCAUUUGUGACUUCCUAUGGGUUUAUCGGGACAAAGCCUCAUAGAUAGUCCAGGAAGAUAUGUAUUUGAUUGAAAACUGCAGACUCUAGCUUAGCCGACUGGACACAUCCAAAGAGUAUCACAUUACAAGGAUAAUAUACAAUUAUAGCUUUUCCUCUCUCAUCUGGGGCACCCAAAGGCAAACGCUGUUAGGAAUUGGUGCACAGUCAAGAUACUAAGAACAUUCUCGUGCUUUAUGUCUUUUUUCUCCUGUAACUAAAACUGAGCCUUGUCUUACCAUGCAGCCCGACUAACAAUUCUACCAAUUCCAUUUAUUCACAAAGGGAAGAAGCAUUACCAGGAAUUUCUGGCACUGGCACAGAGGGGUUCAUAUUGAAAAUUUUGAUUUUAAGUUAAUUGGUAAUUUUGUCAUAUUGAUUAAAAUAUAAAAUACAGGUUCAUGGUUUAGGUUGUUUUUAUAAUCUACAUAACAAUUAUUAAGGAGAUGGAAUAUUUAUUCUAGGUAAAUGUAAAACAUCUUUACAUCAUAAAAGUUUAUACUCUUUUGGAGGAUAUUUAUAUUACUAUAAUUCUUUUAUAUGGAUAGGGCAGAGGUUAAAUUAACCAAUGUUUUC
ensembl:lncRNA